UAAUACCUGCAGCUCAAGUGGUGACCGCUAUUAUUGGGCCUAAAACAUUCGUAGCCGGUUUGGUAAAUGCCUGGGUAAAUCGUGUAGCUUAACUAUACGAAUUCCGGGUAGACUGCCAAACUUGAGACCGGGAGAAGCUAGAGGUACUCCUUGGGUAGAGGUGAAAUUCUGUAAUCCUAGGGGGACCACCAGUGGCGAAGGCGUCUAGCUAGAACGGGUUUGACGGUGAGGAAUGAAGCCCUGGGGCGCAAACCGGAUUAGAUACCCGGGUAGUCCAGGGUGUAAACGCUGCUUGCUUGAUGUUAGUUGGGCUCCGAGCCCAAUUAGUGUCGGAGAGAAGUUGUUAAGCAAGCUGCCUGGGAAGUACGAUCGCAAGAUUG
rnacentral:rRNA from 1 species